GGAAAUGCGGUUUGCUUACUUAUGCGGAAAAAUGGCUGCUGCCAGUUUGGCUGUUUUCUGCAGGGGAGUGUCGGCGGCCCUGAAGGCUUCCAGGUCGUUAAUAAGUCCUCAGGCCCCUGCUAGCACAAGUUGCAGGUUUUCUCUUUGUCUGUUGACUAAGAAUACACCAAAUGUCACAUCUUUUCAUCAGUGUAGAUUACUUCAUACCACAUUGUCUAGGAGAGGACUGGAAGAAUUUUUUGAUGACCCAAAGAAUUGGGGGGAAGAAAAAGUGAAAUCUGGAGCUUCAUGGACCUGUCAGCAAUUAAGGAACAAAAGUAAUGAAGAUUUACAUAAACUUUGGUAUGUUCUCCUGAAAGAAAGAAACAUGCUCCUAACUCUAGAACAGGAGGCUAAGCGGCAGAGUUUGCCAAUGCCAAGUCCGGAGCGGUUAGAAAAGGUAGUAGAUUCCAUGGAUGCAUUAGAUAAAGUUGUCCAGGAAAGGGAAGAUGCCCUCAGACUUCUUCAGACUGGUCAAGAAAAAGCUAGACCUGGUGCUUGGAGAAGAGACAUCUUUGGAAGAAUCAUCUGGCACAAGUUCAAGCAGUGGCCUAUACCUUGGUACCUAAAUAAAAGAUACAAUAGAAAACGAUUCUUUGCAAUGCCCUAUGUGGAACGUUUUGUCAGAUUGAGAACUGAGAAACAAGCCCGCAUCAAAGCAAGGAAGAGAAGUUUAGCAAGCAAGAAAGAAAAGUUUCUUCAGGAAAAGUUUCCACAUCUUUCUGAAGCCCAGAAGUCAAGUCUUGUCUAAGAUAGCUGAACUCUUAAUUUACCAUUUUGUUUUUCUUGGAUUACAAUCUGUAUACAAAAUUUGCUGGAGAUCCUUCACGAACAGCUUCCUGAGUGCCAAGAGCAAGUGCUAGGUUAACAGAGUUCACAACAUGGGGGUGGGGAGUUGGAGGUAAAUCCCAGAAAUAAAAUUCAUUCAUCACUUACUUUUGAUGCAAUCAUAUAUGGAGGAAUCAGUUCUAUAUUCAUUUCUUGGAAGAGUUCUCUGCACUGCAUAGUAAUAAAGUCUCCAGCAAGAGGGGAUUUUACAAUGCCUAUGAAACAGAUUAAACAAGGCUAAGAAAGCAUUCCAUCCAAACUCCCUGGGACAAAUUUCCUCUGUGUAUUUAUACAUGAUUAAUUGUUUUCAAGCAGAAUUAAUGGAACUAUCCCUCCAGGCAUGAAUGAAGCCAUGCAUCAGUUUUAAAUAUACACUAUAUACUAAAGAUUAAAAAAAAAACACUUAAAGACAUGACUGGGAAACUGAUAUACUUUGAUAGUCCAAGUCAUUGCUUUAUUUCAUGAUCUGUGUCCUCUGUGCACCCUGGUUAAAUACAGUUACCUUGCUGAAGGACAUAGCCAUCGUGAACUGGAAUUGCAGUGGUAUGAGUGGCUCCACUGUCCAAGAUAAGCCCAGUAGAACGACCAUUAGCAAAUCUAGUUUAAAGCAUUAAGGAAAAGAAAGUAUCAAGGUUCCUAAAAUAAUGUUUAUUGUAAAGGGAAGGUUUUAUUAAGGCAUUUUUAAAACAUGUGCGUUGUGGCUUAAAAUGCGUUAAAAAAAAAUAAAAUAGGGCUUCCCUGGUGGCUCAGUGGUUGAGAGUCCACCUGCCGAUGCAAGGGACACGGGUUCGUGCCCUGGUCCAGGAGGAUCCCACAUGCUGCGGAGCGGCUGGGCCCGUGAGCCAUGGCCGCUGAGCCUGCGUGUCUGGAGCCUGUGCUCCGCAGCGGGAGAGACCACAACAGUGAGAGGCCCGCGUACCGCAAAAAAAAUUAAAAAAUAAAUAAAAUAAUAAAAUAAAUACGGGGAUGAAAGUUGGCAUCAAAUAAUAACUCUGGUUUCAAAACAAAUGAGAACAGGCAGGACUUCCAGAAUGGUGGUGUGAGGAAGUCAGAGAAACCUUUAUCCCAGAGAGACAUCUGUUAAACUGGUCCAAAUUAGCACAAUUAUUCAAAGUCCCUGGCACAGAUCAAAGGGCUUACAACAAACUGAGAAGCAUUUAACAAAAUCUAUAGAAACUUGGUAAGAACAGUGGGAGGCUGUGACAUUUGAGAUAAGAACUAAAACCAUUCUCACAUAGGAUUAAAGAACCAUUUCAGCAGUUUGGCAGGUGAGUGGCUGUUAUCAUCAUCUCCCCCAACUCAAUAGGAAGAGCUAUUCCAGGCAGAUUCAACAGCCAGUGAAUAUCAGCAGACUCCACUUAUCCCAUUUUCCACAGCUCUGUGCUGCAGAAGGCCUACAUCACGUGAACAUCAUAAACCAACAUUUAGGAGUAGAGCCAUUCACUGGAUCAUCAAAUAUUUACUGAGCAUCUAUUAUGUGCCUAGUGAUAGGUCUGGUGCCCAAUAAAGGAGGGCAGCAGGGAGGUCAUUCUCUCACUAGCACUCCUUAAGCAGAGAAGACACGAAGAGGUGAACCAAAACUGUCUCUGCCCUGAAGGAUAUCCUGAUAAGUGCAGCAGAGAUCAAUAAAGCUAUAAAAAGAACAGUUUGAGAUGCCAUGGGAGAGUAUAUAGGAAUAUAACCGGUCCCUGGGAAAUUCAAUUGUAAGAUGGGGAGGGGGACAUGGGGAAGAGGAGAAACAUGCGGGAAGGCGAGGAGGCAAGAGAGCAUAGUGAAGAGGUCAGGGAAGUGCAGCAUAGUUCAGUGGGGCCUGAAAGGAGAAGAAAGGCAAGGCUGUGGAAGAUGAUUCUGGCUUAAAUCAGCAGACUGGCAAUUAACAAAGAUGAUCAGAGCUGCAGUGUGAAGACUGGGCAAGAUAAGAGGAAGGGGUGCACCUAAUGCAAUGGCAGUGGAUAGAGAAAUAAAUGGAUUUGAGGGUUUGGUUUGGGGCCGGGGGAGGCUGGAGAAUAGACAGGUCUUGAUAACUACAAAAUCUGAAGGGUUAAUGAGAAAGAUUUCUGGUCUAGACAACUGGGAGUAAGAUACUACACAAAGGAGAAAGAAUAAAUUUGAUGGGAGAGAAGAAUUUUGGAUAUAUUGAGUUUAAAGUGCUUAAACAGAUAACUAAUAGAAAAAAGUUCUAGUAGACAGCUGGACGUGGGCCUGGAGCUCACAAGAAAGAUCUGGGAUACAAACAUGGAUUUGGAAUUUGUCAGUGUAUAACUGGUAUCUGAAGCCAAGGAAAUAGAUAGUUAAACCAGAAAGAACAUGUCAAGAGGGAUGAAGGGCUAAGGGCAGAGAACUAAGGCAUGGGCAGGAACGAUCAGAGGAAAGAGGUCUGAGAAUAAAUGGCCAGAACGAUAGGUUAGUAAUUUAUCUUUGCUAUUACUGGUACUCCAUUGAUCUCUGGUCAUCUAUAUACAUAAACACUAAUUUUAUCUCUGUUAGUACAAAGUGAUACAGUAACACCAGACUAAAAGUAUGUAAGCUCUCCUGAAGAUGGCAAUUAUAAAACCUGGACAAAUUAUUUUAAGUGACCAUUUUAAGAUACUGGAAAGUAUUCAAAAGUAGUCAAAACUCAGCCAAAACUUAUCUUCAUGAAACUGCAACCAGAGGGGGUAAAAACUGCAAGUUUGCAGCUUCCUCGCCUAAAAGUGCUUCCCAGCUCCAUGGCUAUGGUUCAGGAAAGCAGUGACGAAAAAUCGCAACUUUACCACCUUGAGUGAACACAGAAAGGAGUUCAGGGGUGGAAGAAAAGCUGGACAUUUAAGGUAGAAACUCUGGAAGAAAGAGAACCACAGAAGGGAUAAAACCCAAAAUCUGAGUAUAAAAUCUACCCAAAUCUCUGGUUGACAACUGAACUAUUCAACUGCAGGACUGCAGGGGGACCAACAAAAUGCAGAGAACAGAAGGGCAAUGCAUUCUUGAAAAACAGAGGUGCACCAAUGAGUUCUGUGAUUUUGCUACCUUUUUAAAUCAAUGAAUUCUCCAACAGCAUGCAGCUCUGACAGGAGAAGGCUGAAGCCUGCCUCGCAAAUUGAGGUGUCAAGAGGACAGAGCCUGAGGCUGGCAGAUAAGAGCCCAGCUAUCAAUUAAGUCAGAUAAAACAAUACUACUCUUCUUACUAAUAUUUUUGUUUUGGAAAACAGAGUUAUCUUUUUCAUAAAACUGUUAUUUUUGUCGACGUUAAUGUGUGUAUUUUUGUUAUUUUUAAUUAAAUUAAUAAGAAAAUGUUAAAAGGAGUCUUAGUUUUAAAUUCUCAAACAGUAAUAUUGAUAGUUAUAACCUACAAAAAACAGAAGCUCUGCGUCAUCCUCAGUAAUUUUUAAAAGUGUAAAGGAAUCCCAAGGCCAUGGUUAGGAAGUCAAAACAAUUUUUAGAAUAAUACUAAGAUGUUAUUUGCCCUUUUCACUGUCAUUCUCUCAUAAAUGUACAAGAGAGUUUUUUUUCCAGAGGCUAUGUCAUGUGUGAUACACAACAGACUGAAUGUGAUAUGAGAAUCCAACUUCUGCUAUUAAGUCCAACGUUAAAGACAUUUGAAAAAUUGUGAAACGAAGCCACCCUUCUCAUUAAUAUUUUUGGUUUUGGAAAACACAGUUAUUUUUUAUUAAAAUAUUUUAUUUAUAUUAUCAUACAAUGGGCUUAUUAAUUUACUUAAAAUAAGCAAAUAUAAUUUUUUUAAGUUUCUGUCUUAAUUUCUAAUAUGGCAAAUACUACCAGAUAUGAUCCACAUAAAUAAAAGCUCUAGGUAUAAAAAGUUUGAGAACCUCUGGGCUAGAAGAACACAGUAAAAAACACUAGUCAGCAAAAGCCAGAAGUGUUAGGAAUUCUAGAGGACAAUCUACUUCCCUUACCAAAUAAAUUACAAGAGAAAAUAAAGGGGAGGGUGGGUACAAUCUACAGACCACAAGAGACCUAAGAGACAUAUCGAACAAAAUACAAUGCAUGAUCCCUGUUGCCUGGGUCCUGAUUCAAAUAUACUAAACUGUUUUUUAAAAAAGAAAAUAAAUUGUGGUUAUAUCUUUAAAAAAAAAGAGACAUAUGGUAACAUCUUGUACAGAUACAUGCUUAAUGUCUGGGAUUUACUUCAAAACCAUGGUGGGAGGGGGAGUGCCUGUGGUUAUAGCUAAUACCACUUAGCUCUGUGUUGAAAGUUGUUGACCCUGGGUGAUGGGCACAUGG